GGGCUGGAGAGAUAGCUCCCAGACUACCUGCUGCUCUUGGAAAGGACCCAGUUCAGUUCUCAGCACCCAUACGGUGGCUCACAGCUAUCUGUAGUGUCAAUUCCAGGAAACCUAGUGCCCUCUUCUGGCCUCCAUGAGCAUCAGACAUUCACACAACGCACAUUGUAGGCAAAACAAUCAUACAUAUAACAUCUUUUAAAAAUUUGUCCCGUUGUUUGCUUAUUGAUGCAGUGUCUCAUGCAGUCCAGGCUGCCCUCAGACUUGCUAUGUAGCUGAGCCUGAUCAACUUGCCUCCACUGCCCAUGUCACUGUCCACUUGCUGGGAUUACACACAUGAGGCCACUGUCUUGGCUCACAGACUACUGUCAUUUGUUUGUUGCUUGUUUUGCUAUAGCAAACAUGUUCCUUGAUCACGGUUAUAUUAUCUACCUUCUAUACAAACUGUUUCUCAUGUAGCCUAACUUCUCUCAGUAAAUGUGAUUACUGUCCAUAGUGUUCUCAACCACAAAGUCAGUAACAUUUGGUGUCUCUCUGCGUCUUGGUCCUCUAGGCUGACACAUCCCUUGGCUCCUCCUGAUUCCACCCACUCUCCAUGCUGCCAUAACUUCCAGGCCUGGUCCAUCGGUUUCUGCUCAUACUCCGCUCCUCCCACUUUCCAGGUCCUUUCCCUUGAAGCCUCCUUAGGUGUCAACACAGUGUCCUAGGACACCGGGUAGUGCUCCCAUGAUAAAACCCAAAUCCUCCAUUCUUGUCAGACAGCACUCAAAGGGGUUUUAUCCGUGCUUCUCUCUUUCACUUUGCCUCUUUUUGUUGUUUUGUUUUUAUUAGAUAUUUUCUUUAUUUACAUCUCAAAUGUUAUUCCCUUUCCUAGUUUCUCCUUCGAAAAUCCCCUAUCUCCUCUCCCCUCCCCCUGCUCCCCAACCCACCCACUCCCAUUCCCAGUCCUGGCAUUCCCCUACACUGGGGCAUAGAACCUUCACAGGACGUAGGGCCUCUCCUCCCAUUGAUGACCCACUAGGCCAUCCUCUGCCUCAUAUGCAGCUAGAGCCAUGCGUCCCACCAUGUGUUUUUGUUGGCUGGUGGUUUAGUUCCAGGGAGCUCUGGGGCUACUGGUUAGUUCACAUUGAUGUUUCUCCUAUGGGGCUUCAGUCCCCUUCAGCUCCUUGGGUCCUUUCUCUAGCUCCUUCAUUGGGGACCUUGUGCUCCGACCAAUGAUUAUUGUGAGCAUCCACUUAUGUAUUUCCCAGGCACUGACAAAGGCCCUCAGGAGACAGCUAUAUCAGGCUGCAGUCCUCAAGCUCUUGUUGGCAUUCGCCAUAGUGUCUGGGUUUGGUGAUUGUUUAUGGAAUGGAUCCCCAAGUGGGGCAGUCUCUGGGUUGUCGUUCCUUCAGUCUCUGCUCCGAACUUUGUCUCUCACUUUGCUUUUCUUAAGAUUUUGUUUCGUAACAGUCCCACACACAGCUUUGCUGUACUGUUCACUGUUUCUUGAACACAUCAGACUUAUUCUUUUAGUUUAGUUUUGUUUUCCAGUGCUGAGGACCAAACUCUGGUCCACACACAUGCUAACCUAGUAUGCUGCUACCGAGUUCUCCCUCUAGACUCCCUUUUUGUCUUUGAAUCUCAGUAUCAAUGUUUUCUGCUCGGAGGAAUGAUCCCGCCAUUGUGUAAUGUAAAGUGACCAUGACUCCUCGUCAACCACAGGAACCCAGGCGAUUUCCUUGCCUAGUGUGUAAAUAUACAGGAUAAAUAUUAAAUACUGCCAUGUAUGCACUGUCUUUUUAAUAGUUUUGGUACCACCGCUUCUUUAUUGUUUAAUAUCUGUGGGAUAAAUGAGUAAUCUCAAAGACAAUCUGUUUUGUUCUGAGUUUGCUUGUAUUAUAGGCUUUUUUUUUGUCUUUUUUUUAUAUCAAAUGUUGGGGACAUGGGGGUGCCAAUGGCUUUAAUUAUCUUGCUCAUGAUAACUUAAGAGAGAUACAGUAUUUUUCAUUCAAUCAUGUAGACAUAGUAAUUAUUAUAAUGGGCAAUAUAAUUAAUAAUGAUCAAAUAUUACAAAUGCCAGGUCUUAGAACGUUAAGUUGUAUAUUGGAUGUAUUUGUCAGAUAAUUUCCCUGUUCUUUGGUGAAUUUCCUCCUUUAAAUUUCAAAAACUACUGAGUAAUGAAUGAUAUACCUUAAAAAAAAAAACCAUCAGGGAUGGGUUGCUUUUGAAAUAAAGAAAUGUUAGGGAGAUACUUUUUCAAAUAAGAAGAAACACAAAUAGUUAGGCAUGGAUGGUAUGCAUGGCAUUUUAUUUUCCUCUUCUGGUUUCUAAUGAGGUCUGUGGAAAAUAAUAUAUAUAUUAGUUUUAUGUUCGAUAUGUCAGAAGAGGCGUUUGAUUUGUGUUGUUUAGAGGUAAGCAGUGUGCC
rnacentral:lncRNA from 1 species